CCCGACGCCACUCUCGAGGCUGGCGGGGCUGCUGGGCUGCCUCCCGGGUCCAGGCCCCGCCUGGAGGGCGGGCCCAGCGAUUACUCACAAUGUUUUUAGGGGAUUUCGGGGCCCCCUCCCGCUGAUCGGAGGAGUUGGGUGAUGUCACCCGGGCCGGGUCUGGAGCCCAGCCAGGGCUGCUGGGCUGCGGCCGCCCGCCCUGCGCGGGGAAAGGCCCGGGCCUGCUUCGCCCGCAAAGGCCAGGUGGCUGACCUCCGCAAAGUUUCCUAAUCGCCAAAGGUGCCUCUUGGUGGUGUCGCGGCAGAAGCACUUUUUAAUUAGCCAUUCACCCCAAUCUAACAAAGCAGGGGCAAAGGGGAACUUCCGGACCUCUCCACCUGGCAGUGCUUGGACCGUGGGCUUCACGGAGCCUGCAGAACGCAAGGGGCGACCAGGACACUGCGCCGCAUCUGCUCCCGCCGGCGAGGGCGGACCGAGGGCUAAAAUAGAACAAUUCAUCCUUAAGUUCAUAUGCAGUCUCAAGGGACCCUGAAUAGCCAAAACAAUCUUGAAAAAGAAGAACAAAGUUGGAAGAGUAAGACUUCUUGAUUUCAAAACUUACUACAAAAGAAUACUAAUCAAGCCCAUGUGGUACAGACAUAGAUUGAUGAAAUGGAAUAGAUAGAAAACAAACAAAUAGAAAAACAAACUCUCACAUAUGUGGUUGAAUGAUUUUUGGUAAGAGUGCUAAGACUAUUCAAUGAGGAAAGGACAGUCUUUUUACCAAAUGGUGAGGGGAAAACUGGAAUUUCACCUUCAAUAAAUGAAGUCGGACCCUUACCUUACUCUAUAUACAAAAAUUAACUUAAAAUAGAUUGAAGACUUAAAGAGGCAAACCAUAAAGCUCUUAGAAGAAAGCAUAGUGGAGGCGGGGGGCUCACCUGGGUGGCUCAGUUGGUUAAACAACCGAGUCUCGAUUUUGGCUCAGAUCAUGAUCUCAUGGUUUAUAGGUUUGAGCCCCGUGUCCGGCUCUGUGCUGACAGCACAGAACUUGUUUGGGAUUCUCUCUCUCCCUCUCUCUCUGCUCCUCCCCCCUCCCCAAGUUGUAUGAUUCUACUUAUAUAUAGAAUUGUCAAAUUCAUAGAGACAGAAAAUAGAAUAAUGGUUACCAGUGGCUGGGGAAAGGAAGGAAUGGGGAGUCAGUGUUUAAUGGGUACAGAAUUUAUACUGGGGGUGGUGGAAAGAUUCUGGAAAUGGAUGGUGGUGAUGGUUGCAAAACAAUAGAAGUAUACUUAAUGCCAUGGAACUGUACACUUAAAAUAGUUAAAAUGGUAAACUUUAUACGAUGUAUAUUUUAUCACAAUAAAUAAAUAAAGGAAUAAAUAAAUAAAUACCUCUGUUCUCAAUGA